rnacentral:lncRNA from 1 species
UGCAAUGCGGCCUCACACCUAAACAAAACUGCUCUUUACAAUUUAGGCCCAUUCUAGAGAAUGGGGGCACUGAUUUUCCCAAUCCACAAAAACAGAAUACCAUAGUAAAACUAUAAUUUAUUUAUACAAAUGGUGUGUUUUUACAAAGGCCAUCUGUCAGUUGACUCUCUGAUUUAAAACAAAUCUGUUUGUUCCCCAGAAGAAAUAACAUGUCUGUUGAAAAAGGAUUUAUGGACGACAGGCUGCCCAAUCCACCAGCCAUUGGAGACACUGGAGGAGUCUUAAUAUUCAAAUCCCAAAGGGGAUAGAUUCUAAGAUGGCACCUGUGCUCCUGUCUGCUGAGGUCUCAGGCAGGGGAGGACCCAGAGGCUCAGAGGCAAGAUGUCGAUUCUCAAAGGGAUUUCCACCACAAAAGAUAGCUAAUGCCGACUGUCUUUCAUCUUGCCCCAGACUCCCGUCCUCAGCAGCUGAGCCCUGGUUCCUCUGUGAUGUGCUGUGAGAAAAUGUUACUCCUCCCUUUAUAGUAGAGAUUGGCACUUUUUCUAUAAAAGGCCAGAGAGUAAAUAUCUUUGGCUUGUGGGCCAAGAGGCAAAAUGGAGGAUAUUAUGUAGGUACAUAUAUAAC